UAGGGAAUCUUCCACAAUGGGCGAAAGCCUGAUGGAGCAACGCCGCGUGUGUGAUGAAGGGUUUCGGCUCGUAAAACACUGUUGUAAGAGAAGAAUGACAUUGAGAGUAACUGUUCAAAUGUGUGACGGUAUCUUACCAGAAAGGAACGGCUAAAUACGUGUCAG
rnacentral:rRNA from 1 species